UCUUAGCAGACAGCUGUGGCACGUUCUGGAGUCAGCUGCAUGCCACGUGGCUGGUGGUCACCAUCCUAGGAUCAGCCCUCAGGAAAAGGACCCUGGAGCUGGGUUUUGGUCCUGUGUUCAAGCUGGACCAGAGGAGGGAGAGCUGCAGCCACCUGAUGGCCUGUGUGUAGAUGGUGGCAGUGGAGUCCCUUGAAAGGGAAGGCCAUCCCAAAAACCACUGCAGCUGGGUUCCCCAUCAUUGUUGUGGUGCAGAGGGAAGGCUGUGAUGUCCAUGUGGUUCCACAGCAGACAUGGUGCACGCUGAGAGCUGUGGCUACUGUGACUACACCAGCUCCAAGCAAGUAUUUCCAGCUGGUGCUGCCCUGCCAGCCUGGGAUCCCGACCAAGCCCCAGGUCUUUGCCCCAGCAUUGCUUGUCUUCUUGUUCAGUGCUUCAGCUGCAGUGCCUCUGCCAUUCCCUGCUGUUGUCCUGGUACGAGAAGGAAGGAAGCUGGAGGAGCCAGCCCAGCCAGGUUUUAGGACCAAGCUCUCUGGAUACAGCUGGUAUUUGGUGGUGAUCUCUUGGAAGAUGGAAGAUCUCAGCAGAAAGCUUCCUCACAGGUUUGUAUUCAGCCUAAACGUGGGCACAGGAGCCUUCCUGCCUCCUUGUGCAGUCAUUGGAGAUUUGCUGCUCCCCCAGGAGGUGUCCUGCCUGCUCCUGGCCGCCCCUUCCCACAUCGACGCUCAAGGGUUUGUGCAACCAUGUGGGGAAUUGGGUCAGGGACAUGAUCCAAUUAAAAGCUGUGCUGAGUGACUUCGAAAGCAGGUUUUAACCAGACAGUUUCCUGACAGUCCACAAAUGCCUGUUGUUAGGAAAAGAGGGCUUUGGACCACAGCAGGAAUAAACAGCCAUGGGUGGAUUGUGGUGGGAUGGUUUCUUCUGCUGGUGGAGCUGGUCCAUGAAGGCUUGCUCUGUUGGUAGGCAGCUGUAGGGACAACAAACCUGACUCCCACUUGGAUUCUGGCUGGUGAGUCUUUGUUUUCUUCCCAGGGAGCCCAGUCUCACUCCCUUGUCUGUUUCAUGGCUGCCAUCACUCAUGGAGAGCCUCUCAUCAGAUGUUUCUCAGCCUCCUUCUCUUCAAGAGUGCAGCCAAGGGCUGUGGUCACAGGGGAAGACUGGAAUUGCACUGCACCCAUGCCCAUCCUCACUGCCUGGGGCGAAGGGGGGUUGCCUUCAGUAAUCCUGACUAAUCCUUUAAUCUGUAUCAACACUGAUAGGUAUUAAAGCAGCAGAUAAGGUUCAGACCAUGGCUUGGAGCUCAGCGAUAUCCCCACCCUCUUCCAGCUAAAUCUGGGCUGAUUGUGCUUUCUCUUAAGGGGACCGUGCUUGUUUGCUGAGCAGCUGCACUGGGUUGAGAGGGUGGAUUAGCUGUUCACAGCUGGAACAUGCCCCUGUUGCUGGGCUCCAGCUUGCCAGACAAGUCCAUUGAUCUGUCUUUGUGUGUUCCUGGUAACCAGCAUCCCGUGCUUCCUGGAGCAAACCUCUCCAGGUUCGUGUUCCUCUGGCAGUCAGCAGCAGAUCUGUAGCCUCCUGCUUUUUAUCUGUGUUAUUCACCUGGAUAUAAGCCCAAUUCAGUUGUAGACACUUCACAGAGUUCUUAAGCAAGAGCACAAAGCUUUCCAGUGCUGUGGAUCUGUGGCUCCUUGCUGCCUGCUGCUCACAGCAGGAUUUCCCUCCUCUCCCAUCUCCAGAGCAGGACUCCCACCACCACAUCCUUCCCCUCCAGGCCUUCUGCACUCUGUUCUUUUUGGGUGCCUUUCCUCCUGGCUGAGGUCUGCGAUGCUCUCACUUGUAUGGCUUCUGGGCACCUCCAGUUACCCCAAUGAUCCAGCACUGUGCAGGUGGGACUCCAGAGCUGGCUGUCCCAUGUUUGGUGGGCACCAAACCAAGGUUGUUAAUGCUGGGAAGAGCCACUCCUGGUCGAGUUCACUGUGCAAAACAAACUGUCCCUGUUGUUUUUGCUGUUGUAGGCUCAUCCGCCCUUUCCCUGUCCUCUUCCAGCUUCUCCCCAUGCCUGUGGGAUUGCUCCGAGUUUGCCACUGGUUCCCUCAUCAGCAAAGCCAUGGUUAAUCCUUCCCAUAAAUCCUUUAAGCUGUCAGCAAACAACCCCCUUCUUAAAAUUCUAGCACGCAAGCUCGGCUGGGACGGAGCCUGGCUCACAACCCCAAAGUUUCAUUUUUGUUCCCAGAUUAUCACCUCUGGUCCUUCCUGUUUCCAGUUUUGGCUGGCGCUGCAGGCUUCUCACCGUGGCUGUGGAGCAAUGGAUGGCUCAUGCAUGUGUGUGGCCUUCCAUUAUAUAUCUGACGUGUAAAAAUAUUCAGGUUCUGGAUUACCUAAUGGGGGGUUCCAGGUGUGUCAGGUGGUUUGAAGUCACAGAUGAGAAUAUGUUCCUUAGAUUGCAUGUGGAUGAAGUCUCACCUCUCUGAGGAGCCACCUGUCCUGUGGGACAGAGUGUUG